GGAAGGCGAGGAGGAGGAGGAGGAGGAAGAGGAGGAAGAAGAGGAGAAGGAGGGGUGGGAAGCGGGGAGAUCGGAGAUGGUCGAGGAGGAGGAGGAGGAGGAUGGGAGGGGCUGCUGUGUGGUUGAAGACAAUACUAGAGGGGAGGAGGACGAGGAAGAAGAGGAAGAGGAGGGGGAGGAGGACGAGGAAGAAGAGGAAGAGGAAGGGGAGGAGGAGGAGGCGGGGCUUGUUGCUGCUGCACUAACCAGUAAGUGUACCUGGGCGGCGAGAGUCGUAACCCUAUUCUCUAACUCUAUGAUCCUCUGAUCAUCCUUCUGAGUCUUAACGCAGAACCUACAAACGUCCUUGGAAAGAAAGUACUGCUUGGCCAUGCGAAGGCCACACCCAGAACAACGCUUGAGGGACGUCAUGGUGAAGAUAUGGGCGAGGCAAGACGGAAACAAUUAGGCGCGUUAAGACGAUAACAAAGUACGCAGCUGCGGUGAGGUCGUCAGGUCAAAAAUGUGUAUCUAGGAAAACAAACCAACAGCUGCUGUGAGGUCGCAGUCAGGUCAAUUCCCCGGGGAAAAGGGUGUGUCUCGGGUAAAAAGGCGCGGUUAUUUCUACCCACCAAGACAAAACAUAGGCCAAUAUUAAUAUACUGAGAAAUCACUUAUGUAAAGAAGAUAAUAACUGUGUUCACUAGGUUUGCGCGGAAAGUGGAUUAUCUAGUGUUUUUGUGUGGACUUAGACAUUAACGUAGCUUGGCGCGCCUGAUUCACGUAGUCCUAUUAUCACAGCACAGUAAAGUAUCCUAAUAAUAGAAGGAAAAGAAAACACAAAAGCAAUAUAAAAAAACACAAAA